rnacentral:rRNA from 1 species
UGGGAACCUUCCCUAUGGUUCGGAAUAGCUCAGGGAAACUUGGGGUAAUACCGGAUAAGCCCUUCGGGGGAAAGAUUUAUCGCCAUUGGAUGGGCCCGCGUCGGAUUAGCUAGUUGGUGAGGUAACGGCUCACCAAGGCAACGAUCCGUAGCCGACCUGAGAGGGUGAUCGGCCACAUUGGAACUGAGACACGGUCCAGACUCCUACGGGAGGCAG